AGAGUUUGAUUCUGGCUCAGAACGAACGCUGGCAGCGUGGAUUAGGCAUGCAAGUCGAACGAGAGUUUUUGUAGUAGCAAUACUACACGAGCAAAAGUGGCGAAAGGGUGAGUAACACGUGGGUAAUCUACCUCUAAGUUGGGGAUAACAUCGGGAAACUGGUGCUAAUACCGGAUGUGGUUGCUGUUCGCAUGAACGGCGUACUGAAGCCGGGGAUUCUUCGGAACCUGGCGCUUGGAGAUGAGCCCGCGUACCAUCAGCUAGUUGGUGAGGUAAUGGCCCACCAAGGCUUACGGUUAGCUGGUCUGAGAGGACGACCAGCCACAUUGGGACUGAGAUACUGCCCAGACUCCUACGGGAGGCUGCAGUCGAGGAUCUUUUGCAAUGGGCGCAAGCCUGACAAAGCGACGCUGCGUGGAGGAUGAAGGCCUUCGGGUUGUAAACUCCUGUCAUUCGGGAAUAAUAGCCAAUGGAUUAAUACUCCAAGGGCUUGACGGUACCGGAAGAGGAAGCCACGGCUAACUCUGUGCCAGCAGCCGCGGUAAUACAGAGGUGGCGAGCGUUGUUCGGAUUUACUGGGCGUAAAGGGCGCGUAGGUGGUCUUGUGUGUCGGAUGUGAAAUCCCAUCGCUCAACGAUGGAACUGCAUUCGAAACUGCAAGGCUUGAGUUCGGGAGAGGAGAGCGGAAUACUUGGUGUAGCGGUGAAAUGCGCUGAUAUCAAGUAGAACACCGGUGGCGAAGGCGGCUCUCUGGAACGAUACUGACACUGAGGCGCGAAAGUUGGGGGAGCAAACAGGUUUAGAUACCCUGGUAGUCCCAACCUUAAACGGUGUGCAUUUGGUGUAGGGGUGUUGACCCCCCUGUGCCGGAGCGAACGCGUUAAAUGCACCGCCUGGGGAGUACGGUCGCAAGACUAAAACUCAAAGAAAUUGACGGGGGCCCGCACAAGCGGAGGAGCAUGUGGCUUAAUUCGAUGCAACGCGAAGAACCUUACCAGGGCUUGACAUGUAACUGCAUUCCCGCUGAAAGGCGGGAAGCCUUCGAGGGUGUUACACAGGUGCUGCAUGGCUGUCGUCAGUUCGUGCCGUGAGGUGUUGGGUUAAGUCCCGCAACGAACGCAACCCCUAUGUUUAGUUGCCACCCGGUGAAAGCCGGCGCACUCUAGACAGACUGCCCUUAGUGGAGGAAGGUGGGGACGACGCCAAGUCAGUAUGGCCUUUAUGCCCUGGGCCGCACACGUGCUACAAUGGCAGGUACAAUGGGACGCAAGACCGCGAGGUGGAGCAAAUCCAUAAAGCCUGCCCCAGUUCGGAUUGGAGUCUGCAAUUCGACUCCAUGAAGUCGGAUUCGCUAGUAAUGGCGCAUCAGCUACGGCGCCGUGAAUACGUUCCCGGGCCUUGUACACACCGCCCGUCACAUCAUGAAAGCCGUCUGCACCCAAAGUUGCCGAGCCAACCCUCACGGGAGGCAAGCACCUAAGGUGUGGGUGGUGAUUGGGAU
rnacentral:rRNA from 1 species